UCUCAAACGUCUUCCUCCCUACCAACUGCAUUUCGGCUCACCAGCUCUAUUCCUGAACUGCAGAUUUUUCAGUUAAGCUUUCUACAUUCCUGCUGAGAUGAGCUGCAAAUCCCUCCUGUUGAAGAGCAUUGACACCCAGAUUUCGCAAGAGCUGUGAGUAAUACUAGACAUAGACCUGUUCUGGGAUCAUGAAAAAAAAGGGCCAAAAGUACACUCUAUAGCUAUCGAAUAAAAGAAUUCAAGAACAAAGAUGGAAC